rnacentral:rRNA from 1 species
AUGAACGCUGGCGGCGUGCCUAAUACAUGCAAGUCGAGCGAACAGACGAGGAGCUUGCUCCUCUGACGUUAGCGGCGGACGGGUGAGUAACACGUGGAUAACCUACCUAUAAGACUGGGAUAACUUCGGGAAACCGGAGCUAAUACCGGAUAAUAUAUUGAACCGCAUGGUUCAAUAGUGAAAGACGGUUUUGCUGUCACUUAUAGAUGGAUCCGCGCCGCAUUAGCUAGUUGGUAAGGUAACGGCUUACCAAGGCAACGAUGCGUAGCCGACCUGAGAGGGGGGUCGGCCACAGUGGAAAUGAAACCCGGUCCAACUCCCUACGGGGGGCAGAGGGAGGGAUUCUUCCGCAAGGGGGGAAACCCGGACGGGGCAACGCCGGGGGAGGGAAAAAGGUUUUCGGAUCUUAAAACGUUUUUAUUGGGGAAAAACAAAUGUGAAAGUAACAAUGCCCGUCUGGACGGUCCCGAAUCAGAAAGCCACGGCUAACUACGG